AUACAGAGGGUGCAAGCGUUAUUCGGAAUCACUGGGCGUAAAGCGCGCGCAGGCGGCUAUUUAAGUUGGAUGUGAAAGCCUACGGCUCAACCGUAGAACUGCAUCCAAAACUAUUUAGCUAGAGUGUGGGAGAGGAAGAUGGAAUUAGUUGUGUAGGGGUAAAAUCCGUAGAGAUAACUAGGAAUACCAAAAGCGAAGGCAAUCUUCUGGAACACUACUGACGCUGAGGCGCGAAAGCGUGGGGAGCAAACGGGAUUAGAAACCCCAGUAGUCC
rnacentral:rRNA from 1 species